UACGUAGGGAGCAAGCGUUGUCCGGAAUCAUUGGGCGUAAAGCGCGCGUAGGUGGCUUCGUAAGUCCGUUGUGAAAGUCAAAGGCUCAACCUUUGAAAGCCGAUGGAUACUGCGGAGCUAGAGUACGGAAGAGGCGAGUGGAAUUCCUGGUGUAGCGGUGGAAUGCGCAGAUAUCAGGAGGAACACCCGUGGCGAAAGCGGCUCUCUGGGACGGUACUGACGCUGAGACGCGAAAGCGUGGGGAGCAAACAGG
rnacentral:rRNA from 1 species